rnacentral:rRNA from 2 species
UGGCUGCUAUACAUGCAAGUCGAGCGAACAGAUGAGAAGCUUGCUUCUCUGAUGUUAGCGGCGGACGGGUGAGUAACACGUGGGUAACCUACCUAUAAGACUGGGAUAACUCCGGGAAACCGGGGCUAAUACCGGAUAAUAUAUUGAACCGCAUGGUUCAAUGUUGAAAGACGGUUUCGGCUGUCACUUAUAGAUGGACCCGCGCCGUAUUAGCUAGUUGGUAAGGUAACGGCUUACCAAGGCAACGAUACGUAGCCGACCUGAGAGGGUGAUCGGCCACACUGGAACUGAGACACGGUCCAGACUCCUACGGGAGGCAGCAGUAGGGAAUCUUCCGCAAUGGGCGAAAGCCUGACGGAGCAACGCCGCGUGAGUGAUGAAGGUCUUAGGAUCGUAAAACUCUGUUGUUAGGGAAGAACAAAUUUGUUAGUAACUGAACAAGUCUUGACGGUACCUAACCAGAAAGCCACGGCUAACUACGUGCCAGCAGCCGCGGUAAUACGUAGGUGGCAAGCGUUAUCCGGAAUUAUUGGGCGUAAAGCGCGCGUAGGCGGUUUCUUAAGUCUGAUGUGAAAGCCCACGGCUCAACCGUGGAGGGUCAUUGGAAACUGGGGAACUUGAGUGCAGAAGAGGAGAGUGGAAUUCCAUGUGUAGCGGUGAAAUGCGCAGAGAUAUGGAGGAACACCAGUGGCGAAGGCGGCUCUCUGGUCUGUAACUGACGCUGAUGUGCGAAAGCGUGGGGAUCAAACAGGAUUAGAUACCCUGGUAGUCCACGCCGUAAACGAUGAGUGCUAAGUGUUAGGGGGUUUCCGCCCCUUAGUGCUGCAGCUAACGCAUUAAGCACUCCGCCUGGGGAGUACGA